GGCACACCUCUAAUAAUAACAGUAACCUUUUAGCCUGUAAUAAUAGCAUGCCUGACUGAAUUGUACGCAUUCUAGAUUUUGUGGUGGGCAAUGAUCAGCAGCCAGGGAGAUCUCUCCCAGAUCCAGCAGCAAACUGGAUGAGGAGGCUUGGAGCUAGCAGUGUGUAAACAUGGAGUGCUUUAGAGAUAAGCUACACGAUAUUUGCAUAACCUUUGUUCUUUUCAACAAAGGCUGGCCAACAGACAAUCACUUUUUUUUCCAUGGAUGUAACAUGCAAGUACUGGCCAUAUCUUGAAAACUAACAACAAGCUGUCUUGAGCUCCAACACCUGCUUAAAAUGAAGCCAUUUCUCUAAAUUUUCCAUGGCAAAGCCAAUGAAUGUAAAGAAAGGAACACUGACCAGGCAUUGAAUAACCUUGCUGGUACAUACUGCAGAAACAUCUUUGACACAGUUGAUAUUGUUUGUGCACGUUUGUGCAGAUACAGAUUAACACAAAGCUUGUGCCAAGGCUCAUCGYAAGAUCAGAAAGGAGAAAACAUCUUAGCAUUGGCUUUAGAAGAUGUUGGUCACUUGAAGACUGAUACAGACACAGAAGUUCUGUCUUUGGAAGAUAUCCUGUCCGGUGACACAACAUUGCCAUGGCAGCAAUCACACAGUGACUCUCAGUCUUCACACAAAAACAAGGGCAAUCGAUGACAUUAAAGAGACUGGAAGAGGAGAAGAGGAUCCUUGUUGAUGGACCAUCAUUAGAAAUCUCUGUCAUCCUAUGAAGACACUCUAAAGGAGCUUCCCACCUGUUAUCGGGAGGUUUGUCCUGUGCCCAAACUGACGAAGGUCCAAGAGGUCUCCAGAACAUCAUCCUCAGAGAGCUGCAGCACCAACAGUGGGUCCUGGAGGCCCGGCAUCCUGCAUGUUUUUGUUCUCUCCCUGGUUUAA